GCAGAGGUCAUUUUGUUGAAGAAAGACAGCAAAUUUGGUCAGUAAGAGUCGAGAGGAGGAGAUUUUUUUCUCCCUUUUACCGGGGGAGGGGAGGAAGAGAUAAUCCUAUCCAAUCAAACACCAUUAUUGGCAAUCCAACAGCCAUGUCAGCACUAUCUGGAUGAAAGGAAUGAGUGGUUCCUAGCUUCGAACUUGGAGGAAGCUCCCAUCUCCACAUCCCCAAUCAAAAUUAUCAAACACCUUCAACUAAACCCAGAAAAAUUAGGAAAAACAAAACUAAUAAAUAAAAAAAUCCCUAUAUUUUAACGUUUCUGCAUUUGCUCACUUUAGAAUUAGAGGUCACUACAAUAAUAUAACCUGUAGGAUUCACUUCAACCAUGGCCUUAACUUCUUCCUCAACCUUAUCAAUCUCCUCUUCAUCAAGCCUUGUUGACGCCAAGGCUCUUCGCCAAUUAGCUGCUGCAUCACCACAAUGUGUGACUCUCCCCAUCCUUCCUCUUCCUCCUGCUCAGUCUCAGAACCGCCCCUGGAAGACCACUGCUUAUUGUCGUAAGAUAGCCCGGAAUGUUAUGGCUAUGGCUACAGGAGAGGCUAUUGCUACACGAGAAGCUCCAGCUGAGGUUGCUACAACUGAGCUGCCAGAGAUUGUCAAGACAAUUCAGGAAGCUUGGGAUAAGGUUGAAGACAAGUAUGCCGUGUCUUCACUGGCAGUGGCAGUUGUAGUUGCCGUUUGGGGCUCCACUGGGAUGAUCUCGGCAAUUGACAAGCUUCCUUUGAUUCCUGGGUUGCUUGAGAUUGUUGGCAUUGGUUACAGUGGAGUAAGUAGGAACUUUAUUAAAUGAUCAUUUUCAUGUCAAAUCAAGCUAGAUUUUCCAUAGAUUUCAUUCCCCUAUUAAAUGUGAACCUUUGGGUACUCAACAUCCAACUACUGCCUACACUCUGGAUGAAUUGCUGUAGUGUUCCACAAAGAAUAUUUUUGUAUCUAAUUUGCUAUAUGCAUUAGCUGAUUUUAUUUAUUUACUUGCAGUGGUUUGCAUACAAGAACCUUAUUUUCAAACCUGAGAGGUAUAAGUGUACUCCAAAGAGUUUGAAAUAUGUUAUUUCACCAAGAACAGAUUUUCACAGCAAAUUGUAAAUUUAGACUAACAGCCGUGCAUGGUAAAACUGCAGGGAAGCUUUGGUAGCGAAAAUAAAAGCCACAUACAGCGAAAUAAUUGGGAGCAGCUGAAAAGGGAAUCAAUCCUGUGCUGCAGUGAGGUGAAGUCAUUAAGUUCUGAAGCAAACAUUUUGCAGGAUUGUGCACAAGGAAUUAAACGUGCUUCAUUUGGUUUGCAUAGUUUUCUAACCAGAGUGAAUCCAUGUAAUAAUGAACGUUUCUCUUUAUGACACAUAAAUUAAAUAUUUAGUUUCUCCACAUUUUAACGUUAUUUUAUGCCUAUAAUAAUCACUUUCUUUUACUAUAUAACCAAAAUUAGAAAAGCACUCUGAACUCUGAAGAUUUCUUUGGAAUUUGUUUGACUUAGAAUUUUCUCCCGUGUGUGUUGUUUGUUGGCCCACCAAGCCAAGGCAUGGAAGGGAAUUCAUCUUUGCUUUUGGGGGUGAGGGUUGUGCUCCUCCAUAUGAAUUUGAAUGAAUCUGCUAAAAGCAGUUGGUUAAGGUGAAAUUAUUAUUAAUUAUUUGGCUUUAUCGAUUGUAAUUUUAAAAUUAAAAUUAAAUAAUUUUUCAAUAUUUAUUUGCAAUGAAUUUAUUAUUUAUUUUCAUUUAUAAUUUUUUAAGAUAUGAAAUAAAUAAAACUUUUUUUUUAAUGUGAAGAGUGAAUUUCAUAUAAUUGUAACAUACGGUACGUAUAGUAUAUUGGGUGUAUUGAAUAAUUACUCUAAUAUAGAGAGGUGAAUUAAUAAUUCUUGAGUUUAGUUUUAAAUAAAAAAAUAUUUCAUAACUUCAUUAAAAAAGUAAUUAGUAACAAUUAUUUUAUUAUUUUAAAAUUUAUAAUUAAAAUAUAUUAAAUUUUAUUUUAAAUUAAAUUUUAAUAUUUUUAAUUCAUAUAUCUUGAUUUUAAAUAAUGAGUUCAUUGGUCCCUGUGGAACAAGUAAGAGAUCGCCUCCACUUUGCCCUUUUAUCUUAAUUGCUAAUUGAACUUAUUUCUUAGAAUGGCUUGUAAUAUUACUAUCAUGUAUUAAUAUGUAAAUCUAUAUUCAUAGACUAUCUUGAAAUUUUCAUAUCAUAUUAAUUUGCCUCCAAUGAUCAUGGCAUACUGGAAAUGAUCGUAGAAACCUUACAAAAUUAGUGUUCAUGAUUGCUUCUUUAUGUGGAUUGAGGGUUAAUCAAGUAGAAGCUGUUUCCAAUAUCACGCGCUUGCUUGCCCAUUCCUCUAUUUACUCUAAAGAGUGGCAAUGGAGUCUCAAGAAAUCUCUCCAGUUGGAUACUUUUUCAGUUCUCACAUUGAAGCUAGUGGAGAGUCUUGCUGGGGCUGUAUUGGAUCAUCAAAGUAAUUCUUCAGCCUUUCACUUUGGCAAAUGAAAGAAUUCCCUAGAUACACGCGGCAUUUCAUCGAUCAGCUCUUUGAAAAUCCCUUGGUUUUUAACCUUGUAACUAAUCAGCAAAUUUUCACAAGACAAUUUGCAGGAAUAAAAAGGAAUAAAUUUCCCACAAAUUAAUAAUAUAUAAGAAGAUCAUAUUUCUAAUUAAGCAUGUGCACUUGAAAGAAACCAUAGUCUUGGCAAGCUUGGCCUAUCUUUUGGACUAGGGUAGAGCGAUCAGGAGCAUCAAGGCCUUAGAGAUCAGUGAGAUCAGGAAUGGAACCAUCCAAGUUCUGAACUUCAUUAAUAUAUGGUCUAUAAGAUGAAGGUCGGAUGAGUAAUUUUAGGGAACAUAGCUUAAUGUAGACAGAAGAUCAGAUAAACUUGGCUUUGCAGUAGCCGUUUUAAAAAAAUGUAAUCCUGAUCCUUUCCAAGAAUUCCAGGCUUUUGCGACGAACUUCGGUGUUGGUGAGUAGUGAGCUUUUGUAGUAAUGGUGUGUCCCCUACUUUUGC
rnacentral:misc_RNA from 1 species